CUGGUCUGAGAAGUCUUCUCCAUCCUCAGAAGCGAUUACAAAUAGUAAUGAUGACAAAACCCAGAGAAUUUUUGCUUUAUUUUGAAAAUAAUUGUUUUGUGUUGCAUGAUGGCACUUCCUGCCUAUCUCCAGGGUCACCUGGCAGCGAUUUACUAGCCUCCUGCUGUCGAAUUCCUAUCAAGCAAGGGCAUCUGCAAGCUCAUUUGAAAAGGAAGCUGUUCCCUGUAAGCUUUCUGUGGGCUGAGCUAACGUCUCUGAACAGACUGGAUUAAGUCCAAAGGACGCAAUUAAAUACUUCUUUGACCAGUGGGUUUUGCUGCAGGAAUGGAAGUGGCCGAACAGUGUGCGCAGGUCCAUACUUUGGUUCUUUUGUUGUCUCAUCUUGGUGCUAAGCUUCCUGCCUGGCUGCAGCGUCUCAGAUGGGAAUCACCUUUCUGUUGGUGGAAAAAUUGAGUUCCCUUCCCAACAAAUCAAUAAUGCAAGCUUGGACAGCAGUGCUUGAAAAGGAGAGCUGCCACAGUGUAUCAUGGAGUUUCUUCAGAAAGGUCUCAUGCCUUCGUAAGGCUCCAUCAAGACAAAUCUCUGCACCAGCACAGAGCUUUUGGGAAAAAUCAAGCUCCAGGAUAGAAAUUCACCCCUCCAUCUUCAUUUCUCCAGGGCUGCCUUUACAGGCAGGCACAGUUGGUAGCUCCCUGCAGUAGCAGACUGCUGGGGCUGGCAGACUGCCUUCUUUGCUCACCAGCUGUUUGAAC
rnacentral:lncRNA from 1 species